rnacentral:pre_miRNA from 1 species
CUAUUACUCCCUCCGUUCGGAAUUACUUGUCGCAGAAAUGGAUGUAUUUAGAUGUAUUUUAGUUCUACAUACAUCCAUUUUCGAGACAAGUAAUUUCGAACGGAGGGAGUAUUUU